CUCUGCUCUCUGUUCCCUUUGCUCUUGUUCUUGCGUUAAUUAUUAUUAUUAUGGCUUUGAAAGUUUAGCGUAUGUAAUGUAAUAGUUGAUGGUUGCUGUCUCUGGAUGUUUGCAUGCAGACUGUACCAGUUAACCCUAAGCCCUUUUUGAACAAUUUGACUGGAAAGACUGUUACUGUCAAAGCUUGAUGCAAAUGGGAUACAAAGGUUUUCUUGCUUCUGUUGAUUCAUACAUGAACCUCCUGGCACUGCCUUUCCUUUUCAAUUUCGUAUCUAACUUCUGAACAUGCAUGUUUUUUUUUCAAAUUAAAUUUUAUUUCUUUAUGUUACGUUAUUUUGGGUUGUAGGAAUCCCUUUUGCAAUUUCAGAUUUUGUUAAUGAGCUUUGUACUAUUAAUGGAAUGUGAUUUGCAGCUGGGAAAUACUGAAGAGUAUAUCGAUGGACAGUUCAUUGGAAAUUUGGGAGAGAUUUUGAUCAGGUAACUUAAACCAAGAGUUGAUUCAUAAGUUUAUAUGUUAUUGGUAUGUGUUUUUUGGCAUGAAAACUAAGCUCGAAGAGAACUGCAAAGCUCCUUUAAAUUUCAAGAACAAUGGGUACAAGUAAAGCUCUUUGGUCUUUAACUGAUUGUAUCUUAAAAAAAAAAAUUAUGUAUCUCCAUUUCCUCAAUAAUUGGGUAAAGCCUUUUGUACGUUGUUGACUUGUUAAAGAAGUAGGAUAUUUGCUCCGCUGUUAAGAUUUUUAUAUUUGUCUCUCUUUUUUUAUGGUUAAUAUCAAACAUGCUAAGCUAAGAUUGCACAUUUACCAUUCAUCUAUAGACUAGAAUGAUAGAGUAGUAACCUGCUUUAAAAGUUGGGAAGAGAUAAGUUUUAACUCAAUUGCUGAUUAUUGAGGCCUUAGAAACUUGGUUCUGAUGACAGUGAUGUGUGCAGUAAUUGUGUAAACUCUUGCACGCCAUCAUGAGAGUACUGUUUCUUUACUGAAAUGUUUGACCUGAGAUGAAGAACAAUGAAGAGUUAGAAUUUAUCCCCAUGAAGAAGGAGAUGUUGGUGUUAUAACUAAAAGAGGGAAAUACUCUUAGCUUACCAUGAGAUUAAAGCUGUUAAGAAAAAAGGUAGAGGGUCAGAUAUUAGCAUAUUUGUCCUUGUGAAAGCUAGCGCUUAUGCCCAUGAGGAAAAGAAUCAUGGCACUACAAACAAAAGAGAGAAAUGCCUUAAAGUUGAAGCUUACCAUGACACUAAAAUUGUGAAGACUAAAGACUGAGAGUGUGUGUUCAUUAGCAUGACCUGUCCUUGAGGGAUCCUAGAACUUGUUCUUGUGGUAAUUUGUUCCAAGAGCUUGUCUAAUUCUUACAAGAACGUUUAGGAAAUUAAGGUUUCUAAUUUUCUAGUAUCUUGUGUGCUUAAAUAGACUCGAUGAAUGCUAUCUAUAUGUCACUAUGCAUUUGAAGUGUGGCAUCUAUGGUAGGGUUUUUUUCCUUCAAAGUAAUGUUGCGAGCUUUAUGGGUGAAGGACAGGAUUCAGCUGUGAGAUAGUUAUGAGGUAACAGAUGUUGUCAAAUUAAAAAGUUCUCUAAAAUCAUUUGUGCAACUAGGGACAGAGGGGUUACAGUUUUGAAACCAUGAUUAGAAAGAAUGGCUGUGAGAUAUCUUCCUUAGGCAUUAGUCACUUUUUAAGAACUAACCGAUUUUGUACAAAGGCUAGGUUAAAUGCUAAAUGGGAGUAGCUUUCUCUCCUAAAAAUCUAGUUACUCGUGUAACUGAAGUAUAAUUAGUAACACCAGCAGGUUUUUAUUUUAAAUAUACCACUGUUGAAUUAGAGCUGUUUUGUAUUGUGUUCAGAAGAACUUUAAGCCUAAAUAUGCUCUCAAACCUGUCUGACAACUGAGUUUGAUACCCACAAAGCCCUUUGAAGUUUUUUCUAGUGUAAAGCUCCAUAUGAAACCUUUUGUUGGUUCUUCUUGCUGUUACUUUAUGAAAGAAAAUAAUGAUUUUCAUAAAUUAUGCUAAUAUUUGCAUGUCAAUGAUUAGAUUACUACUUUUGUUGUUUUGUCAUUUGAAUCAGUUUUGACAUAAGGCUUUCCGAAGCAUAUGUUACCAUACACUUCUACCUGCCUCAACUGUACCUAACACCAAUAGAAAAGGCAACAUUACUACUAAAUGAACCCUUAGCAUGUAAUAUCUUUCUUUAUGUUCAAAGCUUUCAAAGGUUUAGCCUCUUUUUGAAACUUGUGUGUUGAACAUGGAAAGUAUAGGGAAUAUCUUUUCCAAAAUCUUGAGACAAUGGGAGAAAUAUCGAUUGAUUUAGAUGCUUGGAACCAAUAGAAAGCUGGGAAUAGAAGCUGAAACAGUGUCAGGGAGAAAAAAAGGCUUAAGCCUAAGAUGGCUAUUAAUGAUUUGACUUUGUAAUUAUUAGUAUACGCAACAACACAUAGGUAUGGUGGACUAAACUCAGAACUGGUGAUAUUUUGUUACGUUAUGGUCUCAAAUAUGUUGGAAGUUCAAACAUGUUAUGGUUGUUUUGUGGUGUUAUAACUUUGAGAACUAUCUGCAAUGUUCAGUGAGGUCUACUAGUUUACAAACUCCUUUUUUCUAUUUACUUCCAUGUUUCAUGCUUCCAAAUUUACGAGCAAAAGCUAAAAUUACUUUCAGUUAAUGAUUAUAAUAGAGCUGGAUUCCUUUGUAUUGGUCUAUAAUAAAGUACGAGGUGGAAGAUGGACAUAAGAUGCAGAUACUGUAAAGUCUUUUUAUUUCAUGGUUGUGUAGACCUAGAAGUGGAGUUUUUUUUUUCCCUUCCAGCAAUUGUAAAAGAAAUAUGUUAAAGGCUACUCUGGAAGAUUUUAUGCAAUUUAAUACAUCCAUAAAGCAUAGUAAUAAAAGACAACAAUGAAGCAUGCAUUUAUCUCUACAUUGAAAAUGUCUACUCCAAACAGGCAACCUUUUGUGUAUUACACACAUGCAUCACUGCAUAUUUGUAUUUGUUGUUCUUCUAUAGGUUGUAGGUUAGAAGUGCAGGUAGAGUUCCAGACACCUAUAGUCAAAGUGGCGCAUAAUUAUGAAGCAAAAGGGAGCUACAGACAAUAUGUUAUGACCACAAACAAAAUAGUGCAUUAAAUUUUGGUUUCUAUAAUACCUUUGUAUGUUAUAAUGUAUGUUGCUUUUGCAUGUCAUUAACUCUUCAAACAGCUAUUGAGAUGGUCAUUUAGUUAGGACUUAGGAGUGCUAAAUGUCUCAUAACCUCUAAAAAUAUUAUUUUUUAAAUUGCUUUAUUUUGUGCGACAGUGUUUUAGAAUUAAGCUUCAUAUUCCUUGAGAAGAUUUACAGGAUCUGUUUGCAAGUUAUCUGCAGACGCAACAAUGUUCUCUACCUUCAUGGAGUUCCGGAGGAUGAAGAGAUAGAAGAUGCAGAACAAGACUAAGAAGACGUCAUCAAUGUAUGUUCAAUCAUUGAGUUAAUAGAGAACUCCAAUAGUUUUGAUUUUCAUUUCGGAUAUGCUAAUAUUGUACAUGUAUUUUAAUCAGAGUUGUGCUGUUUGCUUUCAA